AUGCACGCUGGCGGCGUGCUUAACACAUGCCAGUCGAACGGAAAGGCUCCUGCUUGCAGGGGUACUCGAGUGGCGAACGGGUGAGUAACACGUGGGUGAUCUGCCCUGCACUUCGGGAUAAGCCUGGGAAACUGGGUCUAAUACCGGAUAGGACGAUGGUUUGGAUGCCAUUGUGGAAAGUUUUUCGGUGUGGGAUGAGCUCGCGGCCUAUCAGCUUGUUGGUGGGGUAAUGGCCUACCAAGGCGUCGACGGGUAGCCGGCCUGAGAGGGUGUACGGCCACAUUGGGACUGAGAUACGGCCCAGACUCCUACGGGAGGCAGCAGUGGGGAAUAUUGCACAAUGGGCGCAAGCCUGAUGCAGCGACGCCGCGUGGGGGAUGACGGCCUUCGGGUUGUAAACUCCUUUCGCUAGGGACGAAGCGUUUUGUGACGGUACCUGGAGAAGAAGCACCGGCUAACUACGUG
rnacentral:rRNA from 1 species